rnacentral:rRNA from 1 species
AUUGAACGCUGGCGGCAGGCCUAACACAUGCACGUCGAGCGAGCGGCGGACGGGUGAGUAAUGUAUGGGGACUGCCCGAUAGAGGGGGAUAACUACUGGAAACGGUAGCUAAUACCGCAUACUAUCGGAUAACCCAUAUGGGAUUAGAUAGUAGGUGAGGUAAUGGCUCACCUCGGCGACGAUCCCUCGCUGGUCUGAGAGGAUGAUCAGCCACACUGGGACGGAGACACGGCCCAGACUCCUACGGAGGCAGCAGUGGGGAAGAUUGCACAAUGGGCGCAAGCCUGAUGCAGCCAUGCCGCGUGUAUGAUGAAGGCCUUCGGGUUGUAAAGUACUUUUGGCAGAGAAGCGGUAUCUGCAGAAUAAGCACCGGCUAACUACGUGCCAGCAGCCGCGGUAAUAC